CUGACAGUGUGUGAAAGCUAAAUUCUGUUAGUGCUGCACUAAAAAAAUUGUUAGGAAUAAGUCCAUGCAGCGAAGGAAGUGAACAAUUGUGGGACCGUAUUUGGGCUGAAAAUGGGUGUUGUACGGAAACCCAGAAAUAGCACGAGUUCAACAUAAAACAUGAAUUAGAAUUUUAGUGGGGGAUCAAGUCAAGUCUGGAAGUGUUACAGGAUGGAAGAGUGAGCCUACAGUUGAAAAACACUGAAAGUGUAUUACCAUUAAGGUAUGAGGUAAGGUAAUAGAGUAUGCAAAUUGUCUAAUUAGAAGUACCAUCUUGUGUGAAUGAAUGCUGUGUAACAGCAAUCCGUUAUAGUUCUGUCACAGCUAGAAGCCUCAAAUAAUUCUGCUUCUCUUGCUAAAGAACAACUUGUCCUUUACGUUCAGAGUGUCGGUGAAGCUGGGUACUUAAAUGGCCCUAAAGAUGUUUUAAUUUUGCUGCCGUUGCAGAGAUGAACAUCAUACAUGGACUUUUUAGGAAAGGAUUUUCAGCAUACUGGGAACACAACUAUCAACAAUGCAACAUUCUAGGGGUGCUAUUUUAUCAUUCAAGAGCCUUAUACAAUGAUUUUCAUCUGCAAUUUGUAUGGCCUUUCCCAAGCUUCUGCCAGAAGUUGAAUCUAUAAGUCAUGUAAGUCACAUGAGCAACAAUUGAGAUGCUUAAUGGUGUUGUUUUUCUUUCCUCAGCAUAGGUUAAAAGUAACAUUGGAUCUGAAAAGAUUCUUGGUUGGGGCAAGACACUGAAUAAAUUGUAAUGAUUGAAUGGAUGACGUGACAUUUCUAUACUUCAUUCGGAUUCCCGAGACGGUAUUUUAUAUUUAAAAAAUUGAAGUGCAUAUCUGGGCUCCCUUCCUUUCCGUAGCCCCGUUUCCCCUUGACUCGUAAUAAGCCCGUAGGGGGUCAUGCCCCUACUGUACGGUAUAUAUAAAAACAACAUAUACCGAGGUUUGGAGGGCUCUGGCCUGAAAGGGGACGUGGGGUGCUGCUUAGUCCGAUGAUGUGUUCACGGAGGGCGACGUGGCUGCCCACAAAUCCGAACUAAAGGUUAAUCGCUCCUGUAAAAAUGUUCCAAAUCUUCAGCUCUUCUUCCGGCUUCUCUUAGCCAAUCACCGGGUAAUCUCCCCGGUGGGUCAACAAGGCAGUGUCUCCCCCUGCCUGGGUUGACGGCAACUUUUGAAAGGGCUAUUGUGCCUUUUUAAAGUUGCAAAAAUAAUUGUAAA